rnacentral:rRNA from 1 species
UUUACAAUGGAGAGUUUGAUCCUGGCUCAGGAUGAACGCUAGCGGCAGGCCUAAUACAUGCAAGUCGAACGGUGGCAGCAAUGUCAUAGUGGCGCACGGGUGCGUAACACGUAACUAACCUACCUAUAACUGGGGGAUAGCCCGCCGAAAGGCGGAUUAAUACCGCAUAAGCUCUUGACUUGGCAUCAGGUUAUUAGUAAAGAUUUAUUGGUUAUAGAUGGGGUUGCGGGUCAUUAGCUAGUUGGUAAGGUAACGGCUUACCAAGGCGACGAUGACUAGGGGAGCUG